rnacentral:lncRNA from 1 species
UUGAAAUUAGUCUUCAUUCAAACUAUUAUGGAGGGGAUAAAUUAAUGCAAUGAAUAUCAUCACCUAUUUCCUACUGAAAUUCUAUCCAAGCAUAUUAAUGCCACCAUUGUAGAUAUUUCCCUAAAAAAUAGAUGAUUGAAAAAACAUUGCACUACCAAUAAUUAAAUACCAAAUGAAUACCUUAACUACUAACAAUCAAAGGCAAGAAUAAGAAGAUUCGAGUGUUAAACAAGAUUGAAAAAGAGGAACUUAUAAUCGUUCAGGCAUCCUAAACAACAAAAAAAUAUAUGCUACAUCUUUCAAAUAGGAUCUUGUCAUCUAGUGAGCUAGGAUGAUAUAAAUGUCAAUUCUUUCUCUGACCUUAUAGCAAUAUACUUCUGACAGUCGUGCAUCAUCUCUAUACGUAUCAAAGGACAAGUUUCAUGUUCUUCAGAAGUUUCAGCAUAGCUUCAAACAAAACUCUAGAAGGUACUGAUGAGAUACAAUCUAGCAAAUCAAAGGAGAAAAACUCAGUAAAAGAAUCAAACUCAGCAACCAAACAAAAAACCCAAGGAAAUCAAAGGUGAAAUGAGAAAGUUAAUCUGAAAUGUGGAGCAACCAAACUCAGCAACAACAAAAAAGAGCUUAACCUGAAAUCGGGGAAAAACGAGAAAGUUAAAUAGGAAUUUGAAAUGAGAAGAUGGGAUUAGGAGAGAGAGAGAGAGAGAGAGAGAGAGAGUAGUAGCAAAAACUCCUGGAGAAAAUGAAAGAAGAAGAGAAAUGAAAGAGAAGGGAGAACCAAAGAAACAUAGAAUGGGAAAAUACCAUGUUCCUUCGAGAUAAAAAAAGUAAUUAAGAACUCAAAAUAUUUUU